ensembl:lncRNA
GAUCUAAAGACGGUGAAACCGGGUUCCAGUGGCCCAGGCCACGGUUAUUGGGCUCAUCUCAGGCGUGCCGCAAAACACACAGAGAAGCCAACUAAAUCCAGAUGUCACGCGUACACUACGCUGGAGGGCUACGGUGAUACGGGAGGUCACAUGGUGGAGCCGGCGCCACGUCCACCACGGCUUCAAGUCUCCCUCUCUCUCUGUCCAUCUUCGCUUGCAAUGUCCAAUUAAUCAGAAAGAGUGCAUUUUCCCACAACUAUUGAUAAAAGAAAGAUGUGACGGGCUCAGAAAUAUUCAGGCCCAAAGCAGCGUCACUCAUUCACUAACACAUCAGGUCCAGAGUGAAAACACAUUCAGACGAUAAAAGCCUUUUUCUUCUUCUUCUAGACCGCACGACAAAACUACAGAACCACACAAGAGAGAAAACUAUCCUCCAGGAGGGGAGGAGAGGGAGCGCUUACCUUCCCUCCUCUGGGAGAUAGAGUUACCAUUGGGUACAAACUGCUCUCCUAAUUCACCAAGACUUUCAGUGAUGCACACACACGCACACACACACACACACACACACGCAAGCACGCACACACACACACACACACACACACGCACGCACACGCACCUUCUGGUCUCCAGUUCAUUACCACUUUCUGCCUACUGUUACCUAUCCUAUACUAAAAGGAGGAUGUUAUAUUCUUUUUCAGAUAAAAAUGGACCAAAUAAACCACAUGAGGUUUGAUACGAAAUAUUGUGCAAUGAAUUACGGAUCUAAAGACGGUGAAACCUGGUUCCAGUGGUCCAGGCCACGGUUAUUGGGCUCAUCUCAGGCGUGGUGAGGCUCUCACACACACACACACACACACACACACACACACCUUUGUGUUGUAUGCACACACACCAUCAAACUCCAACAGAG